GCUCUUCAGAUCUGGUAGUAGGAAGUAUUGAUUAUUCUGGUUAGACUUGGAAAAUGUUUAACUUCUGACAUUAAUAUAUGUGAAGAGAAUACAUCUCCUUUUACUGUUUUCUUCACAACUGACAUGCGCUUAGAGUGGGGGAAUUCCGAUGGUUGUUUGACCUAACAGUGAUAACUGAAAUACUCCUUAAAAUCAAAUGUCACUU